AAUUCCUGGUCCCUGCAAGGUUACAAUGGAUUCUUUUUGCCGUGCUGGCUGAGCGCCGUCUUAGUCUCCCCUGCAUACAAACUGGCCCAGCUAGCUUUCUACUUGGUCUGUUACCACCCUGGGUCCUCUAGCAUUUCCCAGUUCCGCAUUUACCUCUACUCACAUAAGAAACAUUAAAGAUAAUGGACUCCGGCUCCUGAUCCGAGGCAAUUUGACUUGCCUGAAAAGCGCAGUCCACAUAGUGGUGUUGUGUGUUCUUCAUUUUUUUUUCCUUGUUCUUGGGGCUGUUUAAUAUCCACGGCAAAGAUUUCAUAUAAUGACUGCCCGGAGAGACGAACUCCGUUCACAAUUAUACUGGAGUGCUACAUACAUGGACAGGGAAAAGGUUGUUCUCUUAGAUGAAGAAGAAGAGAAUGAAAUAGCAAGCGGUGACUCUGAGAUAGCGAGAAUGACCUACUUGAUGGCCGCGAACAAAGUGGAGGCUUAAGGACUAAAACGAGCUUAAUUAAAUGUACUGGGAUGUUGAUAACUUGUUGAAUUUAAUGCUGUUAUGGUUAGUUUAUAUAUAAACGGAUUAGACUGUCUGAGGAAGAAUAUCUCUUCUUUGUACUUGAUCGUGGUGUAACUCAGGUUAUAAGUUUAGUUUCUUUAUGAUGUUCUGUUAAAACA